UACAGAGGAUGCAAGCGUUGUCCGGAAUUAUUGGGCGUAAAGAGCUCGUAGGCGGUCUGUCACGUCUGCUGUGAAAACUCGGGGCUUAACUCCGGGCCUGCAGUGGGUACGGGCAGACUAGAGUGCGGUAGGGGAGACUGGAAUUCCUGGUGUAGCGGUGAAAUGCGCAGAUAUCGGGAGGAACACCGGUGGCGAAGGCGGUUCUCUGGGCCUUACCUGACGCUGAGGAGCGAAAGCGUGGGGAGCGAACAGG
rnacentral:rRNA from 1 species